rnacentral:misc_RNA from 1 species
UUUCCGUAGGUGAACCUGCGGAAGGAUCAUUAACACUAAUCCGUCUCAACUCAACCAAGCCUUCAGUUGCAGCAGUAGCUCGCCUUGUGCGUGCCGCUGGUGCAGCAACACAAACAUAAUUACGCAAAGGAGCCUAACUAAGCUCAACCAUAAAUCCAAAUUCUCAACGAUGGAUAUCUUGGUUCCC